GUUCGGAUUGGUGCCGGGUGGAGCAAUCCAGCCGGCGCUGAGAAGUUCAUUAAACCCUCCCACCUAGAGGAAGGAGAAGUCGUAACAAGGUUUCCGUAGGUGAACCUGCGGAAGGAUCAUUGAAUCUAUCACAAUCCACACCAUAUAUGCGAACUGUUGACCGUUUGGCCCUCUGCGAAACUCAGGGGAACCCGAGUUUCGCAGGGCUGUCGGCAGGCGUCACAACCUGACGGCAGAGCCUCGUGGCUCUAUAUAUAUAUUUAUGUAUAUAGAGCCUCAGGGUCGGCUCCUAUCAACCAACCAACUCCUAACCAAACCUAUCUAAAGAAACCGAGGCAUUAGGCUUAGAGCCGAAGCUUCAAAAACCAAGACAACUCUCAACAACGGAUAUCUUGGCUCUCGCAACGAUGAAGAACGCAGCGAAAUGCGAUACGUAGUGUGAAUUGCAGAAAUACGUGAACCAUCGAAUCUUUGAACGCAUAUUGCGCUCGAGGCUUCGGCCAAGAGCAUGUCUGCCUCAGCGUCGCUUUACCCCCUCACCCAAUCUCUCUCUCUCCGAGUGCGAUUGCGCGUGGACCUGGCUUUCGCAAUGCCUUUAGUGGCGUUGCGUUUGCUGAAGCGCAGAGGUUGAUGCAUGGACCCGCUUACGGGCCUCAGCUGGGUAGGCAAUUCGUUGCUAAUGCUUUAGCUGUUGGCUUGGGACCGUGCUGUCAGCCCGAACCAGGAAACUUUUACUUUCAAUUUCGACCUGAGCUCAGGCAAGAACACCCGCUGAACUUAAGCAUAUCAAUAAGCGGAGGAAAAGAACUAACCAGGAUAGCCCUAGUAACGGCGAGUGAAGCGGCUAUAGCCCAACUUGAAAAUCUCCCUCUGGAGAAUUGUAGUCUAUAGAAAGUGCCCUCUGCGUCGGACGGAGCUCAAGUCCACUGGAAAGUGGCGUCAGAGAGGGUGAGAACCCCGUCGGCUCCUGUUUCGGCGCUCCACGAGGUACUUUCCACGAGUCGGGUUGUUUGGGAAUGCAGCCCUAAUUUGGUGGUAAAUCCCAUCUAAGGCUAAAUACUGGCGAGAGACCGAUAGCGAACAAGUACCGUGAGGGAAAGAUGAAAAGAACUUUGAAAAGAGAGUCAAAAAGUGCUUGAAAUUGUUGAGGGGGAAGCCAUUGGAUCGCGUGUGUGCGCCCAGGCUCAAGCGGUUCUAACGAGCCGUUGAAUGUGCUGGGUGCUGGUCAGAUCGGGUUGCUUUGGCGGGACAACCGUCGGGAACGUAGGUAGCCC
rnacentral:sRNA from 1 species